rnacentral:rRNA from 1 species
AUUGAACGCUGGCGGCAUGCUUUACACAUGCAAGUCGAACGGUAACAGGCCGCAAGGUGCUGACGAGUGGCGAACGGGUGAGUAAUGCAUCGGAACGUGCCCAGUCGUGGGGGAUAACUACUCGAAAGAGUAGCUAAUACCGCAUACGAUCUAUGGAUGAAAGCGGGGGACCGUAAGGCCUCGCGCGAUUGGAGCGGCCGAUGUCAGAUUAGGUAGUUGGUGGGGUAAAGGCUCACCAAGCCAACGAUCUGUAGCUGGUCUGAGAGGACGACCAGCCACACUGGGACUGAGACACGGCCCAGACUCCUACGGGAGGCAGCAGUGGGGAAUUUUGGACAAUGGGCGCAAGCCUGAUCCAGCAAUGCCGCGUGCAGGAAGAAGGCCUUCGGGUUGUAAACUGCUUUUGUACGGAACGAAAUGGCUCUGGUUAAUACCCGGGGCUAAUGACGGUACCGUAAGAAUAAGCACCGGCUAACUACGUG